rnacentral:rRNA from 1 species
AUGCCUCCCCUCCACAUACUAGUACUCGGGCUUCUCCUCUUGCACACUCCUCCUUGGUGCUUCACUGCUGCUGCAGAUGAAGACACACUCUUAGCAGGCCAAUCGCUCACCGCUGGCGACAAGCUCGUCUCGAGAAACGACAAGCUCGCGGUCGGCUUCUUCCAGCCAGCAGCGAGCAGAAUCGGUAAGUCAUCCAACAAUGCCACCUCCCCCAGCUCCAGCUGGUACCUUGGCAUGUGGUUCAAUAAGAUCCCGGAUUUCACUCUUGUGUGGGUUGCCAAUAGGGAGGAGCCCAUCACCCACCCCAACCUCAACUUAACACAGCUCAAGAUCUCAAGCGACGGUAAUCUUGUCAUUGUCGUAAACCAUGCUGAUACCUUCACCGAAUCCGUUGUUUGGUCCACUCACAUUGUCAAUAGGACAAAAACCACAAACACUAGUGCCCUUGUUCUCUUGAACAAUGGGAACCUUGCCCUCACAUCUGAAAAGAAGAGGUUCUGGCAGAGCUUCGAAUACCUAACAGAUGUUGUGCUUCCUGGCGCCAAGUUUGGUAGGAACAAGAUCACUGGUUUCAUCCACCAGCUCAUCUCAAAGAAGAGCCUCAUUGAUCUGGGUCUAGGAUCAUACAACCUUGACCAAGAAGACACCGGUGGGUUCAUUCUCGAGCGCCGCAACAAACCGCUUGUGGUGUAUUGGCGUUAUAAAUCCUCCACAACUUCAUCUUUGAAUCUUUUACCAUUACUCACGUCACUCCUAGAUUCAAAACCUCAGACCAAAGGAUUAUUUAACAUAUCAUUUGAUGAUAACAUCCAGGAGGAGUAUUAUAUGUACACUUUACGGGAUGAAUCAUCGUCUUCUGCAUUUGUCUCACUAGACAUCUCUGGUCAGAUAAAGUUGAAUCUCGGGUCACAAGCUAGCCAGUCUUGGAAAACCAUAUAUGCCCAACCUGAUGAUCCUUGUGAUCCGCCUGCAACAUGUGGACCUUUCACGGUCUGUAUGAGAAAGCCGCAUCCAUCAUGUGACUGCAUGGACAACUUCUCUCAUAAGUCACCGCACGAUCGAGAUUUUGAUGAUUGA